GGAGUACGAUCGCAAGGUUGAAACUCAAAGGAAUUGACGGGGCCCGCACAAGCGGAGGAACAUGUGGUUUAAUUCGAUGAUACGCGAGGACCCUUACUUGGGCUUAAAUCUAGAAUGCAUAGAUUGAAACAGUCUUGUCCUUCGGACUUCUAACAACAUGCUGCAUGGUUGUCGUCAGCUCGUGCCGUGAGGUGUCGGGUUAAGUCCCAUAACGAGCGCAACCCCUAUCGUUAGUUGCUAGCAGGUAAUGCUGAGGACUCUAGCGUGACUGCCACCGUAAGGUGAGAGGAAGGUGGUGAUGACGUCAAAUCAGCACGGCCCUCUAUGUCCAGGGCUACACACGUGUUACAAUGGUCGGUACAAAGGGCAGCUACCUGGUGACAGGAUCCAAUCCCUAAAGCCGAUCCCAGUUCGGACUGGAGUCUGCAACCCGACUCCAUGAAGUUAGAUUCGAUAGUAAUCGCGCAUCAGCCAUGGCGCGCUGAAUACGUUCCCGACCUUGUACACACCGACAGUCAACCAUCGAAGCUU
rnacentral:rRNA from 1 species